GAUGAACGCUGGCGGCGUGCCUAAUACAUGCAAGUCGAGCGAACGGACGAGAAGCUUGCUCCUCUGAUGUUAGCAGCGGACGGGUGAGUAACACGUGGAUAACCUACCUAUAAGACUGGGAUAACUUCGGGAAACCGGAGCUAAUACCGGAUGAUAUAUUGAACCGCAUGGUUCAAAAGUGAAAGACGGUCUUGCUGUCACUUAUAGAUGGAUCCGCGCUGCAUUAGCUAGUUGGUAAGGUAACGGCUUACCAAGGCAACGAUGCAUAGCCGACCUAAGAGGGAGAUCGGCCACACGGGAACUGAGACACGGCCCAGACUCCUACGGGAGGCAGCAGUAGGGAAUCUUACGCAAGGGGCGAAAGCCUGACAGAGCAACGCCGCGUGAGUGAUGAAGGUCUUAGGAUCGUAAAACUCUGUUAUUAGGGAAGAACAAAUGUGUAAGUACCUGUGCACAUCUUGACGGUACCGAAUCAGAAAGCCACGGCUAACUACGUG
rnacentral:rRNA from 1 species